rnacentral:rRNA from 1 species
UACGUAGGUGGCAAGCGUUAUCCGGAAUUAUUGGGCGUAAAGCGCGCGCAGGUGGUUCUUUAAGUCUGAUGUGAAAGCCCCCGGCUCAACCGGGGAGGGUCAUUGGAAACUGGGGAACUUGAAUAUAGAAGAGGAAAGUGGAAUUCCACGUGUAGCGGUGAAAUGCGUAGAGAUGUGGAGGAACACCAGUGGCGAAGGCGACUUUCUGGUCUAUAACUGACACUGAGGCGCGAAAGCGUGGGGAGCAAACAGG